rnacentral:rRNA from 1 species
UACGUAGGGGGCAAGCGUUAUCCGGAUUUACUGGGUGUAAAGGGCGUGUAGGCGGGAAAGCAAGUCAGGUGUGAAAACCACGGGCUCAACCUGUGGCCUGCAUUUGAAACUGCCAAGCUAGAGUGUCGGAGAGGUAAGUGGAAUUCCUAGUGUAGCGGUGAAAUGCGUAGAUAUUAGGAGGAACACCAGCGGCGAAGGCGGCUUACUGGACCGUGACUGACGUUGAGGCUCGAAAGCGUGGGGAGCAAACAGG